rnacentral:rRNA from 1 species
AUUGAACGCUGGCGGCAUGCUUUACACAUGCAAGUCGAACGGUAACAGGCCGCCAGGUGCUGACGAGUGGCGAACGGGGGAGUAAUGCAUCGGAACGUGCCCAGUCGUGGGGGAUAACUACUCGCAAGAGUAGCUAAUACCGCAUACGAUCUAUGGAUGAAAGCGGGGGACCGUAAGGCCUCGCGCGAUUGGAGCGUCCGAUGUCAGCUUAGGUAGUUGGUGGGGUAAAGGCUCACCAAGCCAACGAUCUGUAGCUGGUCUGAGAGGACGACCAGCCACACUGGGACUGAGACACGGCCCAGACACCUACGGGAGGCAGCAGUGGGGAAUUUUGGACAAUGGGCGCAAGCCUGAUCCAGCAAUGCCGCGUGCAGGAAGAAGGCCUUCGGGUUGUAGACUGCUUUUGUACGGAACGAAACGGCUCUGGUUAAUACCCGGGGAUAAUGACGGUACCGUAAGAAUAAGCACCGGCUAACUACGUG